CUUUGUUGACAUCACUGAUACACAUCCACUGUCCAUCAACCGAUUCCUUCCACAGAGUAACCUGAAAGCAAAAGCCUUCAUCAUCAUAAGCCAGGAUGUUGGCUGUGAUCGACCAGCUCACGUGCCACACAACGUCAUUGAACUUGUGCAGUAAUCUGGGAGACCACGUAUUUCCAGAGGCAUCAUCGCAGGUCCAGAUGAACACACGACCAUCCUGGAGAAAAGUGCAGCAGGAGCUCACCUGGGAGCAGCUGGCGAUGGUGCUCGUCGGCAGGCCAAUGGAGGGGGCCCAGGCUACAUCUCGGACCCAGUCGCUGUGAGCUUCCAGCUUCUGAUCCUCCUUCCACUGACCAUCCUCCUCCUCCCUAAAGCGAAAACAGGAGAGGGAGUAAAGCAGCUCAUGGCCUGCUUUUUUCCAGUUUUCACUAGGGUUUGUGACCUGUUGCUUCUUGGACAGUAUUCAAAGGCCCCGAACAGGCAGUUUUCCAAAGAUAAGCUCUCAACAACAGCAUAAAAGAUUGUAUCAAAUCAACAAUUUUAAGAGAAAUGCAAAUAAGAACACUUCUGAAGCUUCACUUCCCUGCUAUGUGAUUGACAAAAAUGACAAGAUCAAAAUGGGAAGUACUGGUGGGGCUGUAGGAAAACAGGCAACUCUAUAAACUGGUCUAAUCAUUAUGGAAAAAAAAUUUGGAACAACACUAAAAGAUUCAAGUGUACAUACUAAAGUGUAUUGGCACUUUCUUACCAGGACCAUGCUCUAUUCCUGUUAAGUCAAAGACAGAGGGAGAAGUCUUGUAUAUACAGAAACAGUUAUGGCACCUCUUCUGAUUUCAAAACUCUGAUCAAUGCAGUGAACUAUUGGGACUUCAGAAGACUUUUGGUGAAGCAUCAUUCUUCCUACUUCUCUAUGAAAAAAGGGUGACCAUGUGUACAGAAUGAGGAAAAAUGUUCAGAUGUGGUCAAUGUGUGGAUUUGUCUUUCUCAAAUGUAAAAGGUAAAGUUCAAUAAAGGCUGGGGAGAAGAAUAAUGCAGUGAACAGUGGUACAUAAAAAAGCAUUAAAACAUUUAAAAAGAAAAAACAAUACUCCGGUGUUUUAGGUUUAGUGCUCUGGAGUAGAGGGAAAUGCCAGUGGCACACUUCAGUGCAGCACAAGGUUGCCAGCCUGUGGCACUGCUUCAGAGCGGCCCUGUGGUAAGCAGCUGACGCCAAACUCCCUGCUAGGCCACUUGUGAGUCACUGCUUAUAAGACUGGCACCACAUGCUAGCCAGGCUGAUGGGCACCAGGCCCCAAUUACUGGCAUGAGAGAAUGACAAUUCUCUAUCAUGCUGGCACCGGAGGCCCUCAGUCUCCUGGAUAACCUUGGUGAGAGAAAAGGAAACCUCUUUCCCCUGAGCUGGGGCCGUGGUUGCCCCCUGCUACUCUGGAGCGGACCCACGUGCACACUGCCUGUAACUCCAGCACUUACGGUGUGGGCGUUGUUGAUCUUCUUCACUUCCCACUGUCCCUCGCCGCUGUAGCUCAGCAGGGAAAUGGCUCCGUCGGAGCUGCCGCAGGCCAGGAGGAGCCCGUAGUCGUGGGGGGCCCAGCACACAGAGUUCACUGUUAUAGAGACAGCGACAGUGAGGGACAAAUAGCAUCCCAGGAAGGAGAGUUAACCAAGGGACAUGCCAGAGAAAGUAACUAAAGGCCAGCCCUCGGGAAGCACUGAGAGUGAGACAGGAGAGAGAGCCUGGCCCUGGACGUCUGGGACCACAGCACCACUCACUUCUCGGCAGUUACCUGCCUCCCCCCCCACCUGAAGAGUCGUGUCCUGUGUAUUCGUAUGUUUUCUCCCAUGUGCCAUUUUCUUCUUUCCAGAUGAUGACUUUCCGGUCAUAGGAGCAGGAGGCUAAGAUGUUUCCAUACAUAGGAUGAGCCCAGGCCACUUGCCACACGGGGCCUUCGUGACUAGGAGAAAAGUCCAAAAUUUAUACAUCACCAAAACAGGGUUUGGGGAUCUGUCCCAUAAAAUUCUGGAUUCACAAAUGGGCAGAUUUGACAAUGGCUUCUUGAAGGGCACAAUAGAAUGGACUGGGACCACAGCUUCAUGGCUGGAAAGGCCACGGAGGCCCAAUGAGGGUCAUGCAUCUCCUCAUCCAAGAUCCCCAAGACGGGGCAGCCAUCCUGAAUUCAGCCAGUAUUCUUUCCAUUGUACCACCAGGAAUCCUGCCCUAUUAUUUAUUACCUCUAUGACCCUAAGGAAGCUUUUCUGCUCUUGGGAGACUUAAUUCCCUAAUCUAACAAAAGCAAGUGAGUGGGAGUGGAUUAUAAUAAAUUUUAAAGGUCCCUUCUAACUCUAUUCUAUAGUUCUAUUACUGGUUAAGAACAAAAUUAUUCAUAUAAUGAUAGAAACAAUGGCUUUCCCCCAAUUUCUA